AGUGCAGCUCAGCUUGUGAAGCCAGCCAAGUGUCAAUUAACAGCAAGUCAUUGAUAGGUCAUGGCAUAUUUUGACUCAAGAGGAGGGAGAUGCAACAAGCAGCCAUGUGAUGGUUUUCUAGAACAGCUUCUUGACACAUAAAGCACCGAUCUACAAAGCAGCUAGGCUAACACUGCCAUUCUCCUCCCCCACUCCUCACUCCAAAACCCUGUCACCUCCUUUUUUUUCUGUACUCUCUCAUUGCAGAUAGAUUUGCCUUUGAUGAUAAAAAUCUACACUCUCACACUUUGGACAAUGGUCUCCCCAAAGCAGAGUGAUAGGUGCUGGAAAAGGCAAAGGGAAUGUGGCUGAAACUGCAGUCUCAGUGCAUCUUUGAGGGAAAUUAGAGAGGAAAUCUGCUGUGGACAAUUGCUAGUGGAGACAUCAUCUUCAUAAGUCCAGGUUUUUAUUAGUUUUCCUUCUCCUUUUUCUAAAAGUUCUGCAUGUUCUUCACAAGCAUUAAAUAAUCUUCUCAUUUCCCAAAAAGGAAAUAGGUGGACAGGCAAGCACUCUGCUAUCACCACUUUACCACGCAGUGGCCAGAUAGGAGAGCAUGCAGGAAGAUAACAUCAGAACCCAACAAAUACCUCAGAAAUAAGACCCACUAAUAUCUGUGUUCUUUCACGGAAUCGCCCUUAUCCUGCGUCCCCAUUUGAAUACGUAACAACUGCCCUGGGAGGUAUCCUCUGAACCUCGUAUGUACGUACCUCCACAUCCAAAGACUUCACUAUAUCAUAGUCAAUGUUCACAACAACUCAUGGCAAAAUGAGAUUCAAGUAUUUCAAAGACAUCUUCAUUGAAUUAUACUACAAUGUCCUAUAAGAAGCAAUUUAAAUCUCUAUUAAACUAUUAUCUAAACACCAUAUCUGAGACCAGAGUAUCAGUGUGCUGUCAUUGCAUAAAUCUGUAGUGACAGUACCCACCUUCAAGCCUAAAGACUAAGAGCAGAAAAGAGUGGGAUUCUCUGAGUCUGCUCUAAAUUUCUAUUUGCCACUAUUUGUUAUUACAUGAGGACCUUUCCAAAUGCUACCUAUAUUGUUGCUGAACCUCUUCGAAUGGGAGAUGUUUGCAAAGAACAAAUCAAUGAGAACUGACUUGUUAAGAGUAGCCCAAGAGCUCACUACAUGAUAUGCGCUUUGAAAGGAAUGAUUUUGCUCUACAGAUAAAAGAGCGAAUGAAAGGUAAGAGAGAUAAGACAAUGGUAAAAACAGGCUUACAAAAAGCCAAAACAACCCAGGUAUGUUUGCUUACCUUCAGAACAAGAAGCUGAAUAUCAUCUUCUUCCCCUUUAUGACAAAGACACAGACAGCAAAGAACCUGCAUUUCUCAAUUUUACAUAUGUGCUUGGCAAUGUAUGCAGAACUAUUUAGGCAUGAGAAAGCAAGCCUUCUGAGGAUCUGAACUCAACACAAUCCCCUCUUGCCCAUUUAUCUCCCUAUGUCCCUUCCUUCAACACCCAUGCCUCAGCUUCUAGUUCCAAACUAAUUUUUGAAAUGAAAAUUACCUUCUUCCUGGCAAAGAAAAAAAAAAAAAAAAAA
ensembl:lncRNA